UAUCCCCGCACUUGUAUUCAGAAACCAAAUUACCGGUAGCGAAUUUAUAAAGUUUACUUAACAAAGGAGCCGUUCAUAAUGAGCUAUAGACAUAUUGUCACUAGCGCCGAUACGGAUAAUGUUUUAUUGACUGCAGAACACGAUAAUUCGUUUGGAUUGGACAAAUUAAAGGAUCUCGCCGAAACGUUGAGGGGAAGACGAGAGUUUGACGAGAGUUAGUUAAGCUUAACCAUUUGGAAGAGGAUAUUCAUUAUAUCAGUGCACUUCGUUAUCGACGUCAUCGGUAAUUUGUAUGUUAACAUAUAAUUACUUGUCAACUUCAACGGCGCUGAUUGUGGGUUAUUUUGAUGAAAACGGCAGUGUCAUAAAGCACCGAACCUCCAUAAGGGAUCAGCGGGGUUAGUCUUUGGGAUUACAGUAAGCUAAUUUGGGAUCGUGAAGCCCGGAUGUGUAGUUUAGAACAGAGCAGGUGCCCGCUUUUAAAGAUCACUCGGAAAAUGUCUUGAUUUCAUUUUGUUCCACGAGUGAGACAGCUUAUUGCUGACAAAAAGAGGAAGAAAUGAAAGUAGCCUAUUUACUUGGACUCGCUUGUGUUUUGUACGUACACGUGAAAGAUGGCUCACGGCAGGUGUGGCCGGUCAACAGGGGAUUGUUAUUCCUCCCAAGCAA